rnacentral:rRNA from 1 species
GAUGAACGCUGGCGGCGUGCCUAAUACAUGCAAGUCGAGCGAAUGGAUUGAGAGCUUGCUCUUAUGAAGUUAGCGGCGGACGGGUGAGUAACACGUGGGUAACCUGCCCAUAAGACUGGGAUAACUCCGGGAAACCGGGGCUAAUACCGGAUAACAUUUUGAACCGCAUGGUUCGAAAUUGAAAGGCGGCUUCGGCUGUCACUUAUGGAUGGACCCGCGUCGCAUUAGCUAGUUGGUGAGGUAACGGCUCACCAAGGCAACGAUGCGUAGCCGACCGUAGAGGGGGAUCGGCCACCCUGGGACUGAGACACGGCCCAGACUCCUACGGGAGGCAGCAGUAGGGAAUCUUCCGCAAUGGACGAAAGUCUGACGGAGCAACGCCGCGUGAGUGAUGAAGGCUUUCGGGUCGUAAAACUCUGUUGUUAGGGAAGAACAAGUGCUAGUUGAAUAAGCUGGCACCUUGACGGUACCUAACCAGAAAGCCACGGCUAACUACGUGCCAGCAGCCGCCGUAA